rnacentral:tRNA from 1 species
GGAGAGGUGGCAGAGUGGCCGAUUGCACCGCCUUGCUAAGGCGGCGUACCGUUUCCGCGGUACCGGGGGUUCGAAUCCCCCCCUCUCCGCCA